UCUGGACCAGGAGGGAUGAUGAUUCACAUGAUUCCUUUGACAAAACAGGAGAAAAUGGACAAAAAGAUUACAUGCUGUCAUUUAUGGUUUCAUUGGCCAUGACAGUGACCCACUUUUGGCUUCAUAAUUAUUUGGACUUUUUGGCUUAUACUCUAAGGAAAUUGCGUAGAGGGAAAUGUGGACAAGAGGGAUUAACAGUGCAGGAGAGAAUGAAAUGGACAAACAGAUGACAUGCUGGUCAGAAUGAGGUUGACAGAUGAAAAGCAAAGCAAGAACCAUGAGAUGAGAAAUGUUGAUGAGCAGGGAUGAUGAUUUGGAUGAUUCCUUUGACGAUACAAGAGAGAAUGGAAUGGACAAACAGAUUACGCGGAGAAUGAGACUGACAGAUGAAA